rnacentral:rRNA from 1 species
GAUGAACGCUGGCGGCGUGCCUAAUACAUGCAAGUCGAGCGAACGGACGAGAAGCUUGCUUCUCUGAUGUUAGCGGCGGACGGGUGAGUAACACGUGGAUAACCUACCUAUAAGACUGGGAUAACUUCGGGAGACCGGAGCUAAUACCGGAUAAUAUUUUGAACCGCAUGGUUCAAAAGUGAAAGACGGUCUUGCUGUCACUUAUAGAUGGAUCCGCGCUGCAUUAGCUAGUUGGUAAGGUAACGGCUUACCAAGGCAACGAUGCAUAGCCGACCUGAGAGGGGGAUCGGCCAAACUGGAACUGAGACACGGUCCAGACUCCUACGGGAGGCAGCAGUAGGGAAUCUUGCGCAAUGGGCGAAAGCCUGACGGGGCAAGGCCGCGUGAGUGAUGAAGGUCUUCGGAUCGUAAAACUCUGUUAUUAGGGAAGAACAUAUGUGUAAGUAACUGUGCACAUCUUGACGGUACCUAAUCAGAAAGCCACGGCUAACUACGUG